UGAGCGUAUUUUAGAUUAAGCACAUAUAUACAUGCGUUUUGAAUAGAUACAUUUAUAGAUGAUAGAAGAACAAUUAUACGAGAGGCAUAUUUUUAUUGCAUAACAUAACAUACAUUUUGUUCUCAGAGUGCAAAACGUGUUUUUGAAGGACUUGACUAGGUUGUCUGCAUCUGAAGUCCGACAGUACAACUCAGUAGGGUUGUCACAUAAGGAUUGGACGAUAAGAAGCAUAAACUUUGACGACGCACCACUUGUGCGAGCAGGUGGCGAGUGGUGAGAAGAGUGUGAGUCAGUUUUUGAACGUUGUCGGCGGACUUGUGCGAUUGAAGUAGUGUUUGAGUGUCUUGUUUAUGUAAGAAUGCAUAUAUGUUUGAAUGUAUGUAUGAUUGUAACUGUGAAUGUAUAUAUGUAUGUAUGUAUGAAUGUAUGUAUGUAUGUAUGAAUGUAUGUUUUGAACGUUUAUGUAAGCAUGUAUAUGUUUUUUAAUGUAUGUCUGAAUGUAUGUAUGCAUGAUUGUAACUGUGAAUGUAUGUAUGCAUGUAAUGUGUGUAUUUAUGAAUGUAUGUAUGAAUGUAUGUUUUGAACGUUUAUGUAAGCAUGUAUAUAUAUUUUUAAUGUAUGUCUGAAUGUAUGUAUGUAUGAUUGUA